rnacentral:lncRNA from 1 species
CCUACUUUUCUCAUUGAGUUCUUUAUUUUCUUGAUUGUCUUUCAUUCUUACUCUUUGAGUUUGUCUUACAUAUAGUAUUCCUUUUGCAAUUACCUUUCCUUGCUUCUACCUUUUUCUUGUUUGUCUUUAUUGUUUCUUUGGUUUUGUGGUGGUUUGCUCUUAAGAUUGGUGUGCUUGCUUUGACAUAUUUCAUUUGAGGAUUCCAAGGCCUCAAGAUCAGAUUGGAGCAAGAACAUUAUUUCUUUGAGAGUGAUAUCUUUUUCAGCCUUAAUUUCACUUCGGC